rnacentral:rRNA from 1 species
GUAGGGGGCAAGCGUUAUCCGGAUUUACUGGGUGUAAAGGGAGCGUAGACGGCUGUGCAAGUCUGAAGUGAAAGGCAUGGGCUCAACCUGUGGACUGCUUUGGAAACUGUGCAGCUAGAGUGUCGGAGAGGUAAGUGGAAUUCCUAGUGUAGCGGUGAAAUGCGUAGAUAUUAGGAGGAACACCAGUGGCGAAGGCGGCUUACUGGACGAUGACUGACGUUGAGGCUCGAAAGCGUGGGGAGCAAACAGGAUUAGAUACCCUGGUAGUCCACACGGUAAACGAUGAAUACUCGCUGUUUGCGAUAUACAGCAAGCGGCCAAGCGAAAACGUUAAGUAUUCCACCUGGGGAGU